GUUAAUGUAGCUUAUUUAAAGCAAAGCACUGAAAAUGCUUAGAUGGAUGCAAGCAUCCCAUAAACA
rnacentral:tRNA from 8 species